UGUACAUAUGUAUGUAUGCAUUAUGUUCGGUUAUAAACUGUUUUUGCAUUUGGGAUAUAGCUUCAUACAAAACUUUAGACUUUCUAAAGAAGCCUUUGAUUAUGUCUUAAGAUGCAUAACUGAAGAACUAACGGUACCUAUAAGAUCCACGGCAGUAAAUCCAGCUAUAAAACUUGCUGCUACUUUAAAAUUCCUUGGUCGAGGCGGCUAUCAACAUCAAAUAGGGCAAGACCGGUUUGCAGGGUUAGCACAGUCCACUACAUCUAAAUGUAUUGCAGAAGUGUUGAAUGCUAUUGAAAAAACAAUGUGUCCGAAACACAUAAAAUUUGAAAUGAGCUCACAAGAAAAACGUGAAGCUAAGAAUUAUUUUUAAUCAAAAUUUGGAUUACCAGGAAUAAUAGGUGCUUUUGAUGGAACUCACAUCCAGAUGGUUAGACCAGUAAAAGAUGAACAUCUCUUUUUUAAUCGAAAGCUAAAGCAUAGCGUCAAUGCUAUGGUGAUUUGUGACCAUAAUAUGUAUAUAAGAGCUGUAAAUGGAGUUUAUGGUGGAGCAGCACACUACGAAAAUUGAGAUAAAUCUUCUAGGUUAAUUGGUGAUUCUGGAUAUCCAUUAGAGCCAUGGCUCCUUACGCCUUACCGCAAUGCAGAAGAAAAUUCACUUGAAAGCUUGUACAAUGAAAAAUCAAGAUCAAUAAUCGAGCGUGUAUUUGGAAUUUAAAAAAAUCGUUUUCGAUGCCUGCUUGCUGGAAGAGAGCUUCACUAUGCACCAAAAAAAGUUGUUAAAAUUUUGAACGUUUGUUGUGCCCUGCAUAACAUUUGCCUCAUAUACAACGUUGAAGCACUAACAGUAAUUGAAAUUAAUGAAGAACUAUCUAAUUUGGCUUUACCCAACGUAGUUCAAAACGGGUUUUCACAAAUUGCGCAAACAAUACGAGACCGAAUUCAAAUAAGCUUGCGCUCGUAAUUUAAAUAAAGUAACUAAAAAGCAAUCCAUUUAUUUCAAUUAUUCAUUAAUUUCAAUAACUAAAAUUAACGGGUAUUAACAUUUAACAUUUGUUCCUUGAUUUUAAGUAUAUUGUUCCUCUCCCUGUCGCUUUUAAUUUUGUACUCAUGCUUUAACUUUGCAAACUUUAGUUUUUGUCUUUCUAGUUGUAUUUUUUCUUCAUUUUGUUCAAAAAGUUUCUUAUUAGAUUUAACUAAAGAUUUUAAAUUGUAAUUCACGUCUUUUAAAAUCUUGGUACAAUCUUUGUGAAACUUUAUUUGUCCGUCUACUUGCAUUUUCAAGAGAAGCACGAAAAGGAGUUGUCUUUAUGCCGCGAUGGCUGAAUUUGGUAUCCCUGCAAAACUAAUACGGCUAUGUAAGCUGACGUUGAGCAACACCAAAAGCUCCGUCAGGAUCGGGAAGGACCUCUCCGAGCCGUUCGAUACCAAACGAGGCUUCCGACAGGGUGACUCACUAUCGUGCGACUUCUUCAAUCUAUUGCUGGAAAAAAUAAUACGAGCUGCAGAACUAAAUAGAGAAGGUACAAUCUUCUACAAGAGUGUACAGCUCCUGGCGUAUGCCAAUAUCAUUGGAAGCAACAAUCGCGCCGUUUGUUCUGCGUUUUCCAGACUAGAUAAAGAAGCGAAGCGUAUGGGUCUGGUGGUGAACGAGGACAAGACGAAAUAUCUCCUGUCGUCAAACAAACAGUCGGGGCAUUCGCGUCUUGGCUCCCACGUCACUGUUGACAGUCAUAACUUUGAAGUUGUAGAUAAUUUCGUCUACCUGGGAACCAGCAUUAACAGCAAAAACAAUGUCAGCCUGGAAAUCCAACGCAGAAUCACUAUUGCCAACAGGUGCUACAAUGGACUAAGUAGGCAAUUGAAAAGUAAAGUCCUCUCUCGACGAACAAAAACCAAACUCUACAAGUCUCUCAUCAUUCCUGUCCUACUUUACUGUGCAGAAGACAGCGACUACGCUGGCUAGGUCAUGCUGUUCGAAUGGAUGAAAGUGCUCCAGCUCUGAAAGUAUUCGAUGCAGUACCCGCUGGUGGAAGCCAAGGAAGAGGGAGACCUCCACUCCGAUGGAAGGACCAGGUGGAGAGGGACCUGGCUUCGCUUGGUAUAACCAAUUGGCGCCAAACUGCCAGAAGGAGGCGUACGUGGCGCGCUGUUGUGGACUCGGCUAUAACCGCGUAAGCGGUGUCUACGCCAGUCAAGAAGAAGAAGAUUAUUUACAGAUUCAUUUCGUUCUACAGGAUAAAUAAAUAAGCAUUUCAAAAUAUUAUUUGUGAUAUGAGGCCACUAAUAAAGCCAACGAACAUAGCCGUUAGCUAUCCGUGAUGGCACAAAAGCAUGAUACUCGAUUUUUACGGUUAAUCUAAUAACAAUUUUGAUUCUAGUUAUACUCUCGCAACAAAUUUGCUAAGCGUGUAUAUAGUUUUGUUCACAUAACGGUUUUUUAAAUAUUUUUAUUACUUAACAAGUAAGGAAAGGCUAGGUUCGGGAGCAACCGAACAUUUCAUACUCUCGCCAUUUAUUGAUAUAGUUUUUUUAAGAUAACACACAAUUUGGCCCAUAUAUUCGACAUAAAGUCCAAUAGAAUAACGAAAAUCAUCAUAUAUAGUAUAAGAGGGCUGAGGUAAUUCCUGAACCGAUUUCACUAAAUAGCCCAUCGUAUUUUUGAAAAACCUAUAAUUAGGUAUAUGGGAGCUAGGGGAAGUUACGGAGACACACUAUUAUAAGAAAAAUAUUCCCUCCAAAUUAAAUUAAGAUAUCUGAGAGAUUUACCGUCAUUUUCGGUGAAAAAUUUCCCGAAGGCACUGAAUUCUUCAUAUUCGAUAUUCGGGUAUCGAAAAGUUAUAGUCCGAUUUCUACAUUUUUUCACAAGCUAUGAUCUGAUACUGAUAACAUACAGUACUUGAGUAAAGUUUUAUUACACUAUCUUCAUUGGUUCGUUAUGUAUAUAUUAUAAAGAGAAGGAAUGAGAUGGAAUUCAAAAUUGAGUUAUAUGAAAAGUAGUCGAGGUUGUGAACCGUUCCCAGUUUCCAUUUUGUAAAAAAAAUCUGAGUACAGCUUCCUUCUGUCAUUUCUUCUGCAAAAUUUAGGGUUUAUGACCCUUCCUAGUGCGAUCCUUUGUACCAACUUUUACUUUUAUAACGUUAUUUAUAGCUUAGUUAUGACACUUUAUUUGUUUUCGGUUUUCACCAUUUUGUGGGCGUGGCAGUGGACCGAUUUCGCCCGAUUUCGAAAGCAACCCUCUCACGGUCCCAAAGAAUAUUUGUGCUAGGUUUCGUCAAGAUAUCUUAAUUUUUACUCAAGUUACAGCUUGCACAGACGGACAGGACGGACAGACAUCCGGAUUUCAAAUCUACUCGUCAUCCUGAUCACUUUGGUAUACAUGACUAUAUAUCUAACUCUUUUAGUUUUAGGUGUUACAAACAACCGUUAUGUGAACAAAACUAUAACACUCACUUUAGCAACUUUUGUUGCGAGAGUAUAAUAAAUAAAAUUAGAUAAAUGUUCCUCAUUUACAUGAAUAGUGUCGUAACUCAAAAACACGAUUUUUAAGUUGAGUAUGCACAUAUGUUCGCAAUAUCAUUGUCCAUAUAGUGUAAAAAAUGCAUUCUGAUGCGUAAAAAAAUAAACAGUCGAUAUAAGAAUGUGUCGUUAUUCCACUUGUUAUGUCGAAUUAUUUUUAAGCACAAUAACAACACAUCUAAGUUGUGCCAGAAUUAGUCAUGUUUUAUUUCAGAAAGAAAAGAAAAUUGGUGAUUGUGUUUUUCAGCAAUGAUGAUAUAUUUAACUUAUGACAGCAAAUUUGAUAUAUAUUUUUCACAAAUAACGCCAUAAUUCGAAGCGGAAGAAGUUUAUGAAGGAGAAAACCGCAGUCGGUCCAACUGGCGGCUCCUCCUCGCAGUGGCAUUUAUACCAGAAAAUGAGCGCCGUACUAUCACCAUAUGUUAGCUACAACAACGAGAGUUUAGUGGAAGAAAGCUUUUUUAGUUCUACAAACUCCGAACCAAUGCAAAUUUCGGUGGAAACGGUUGCGACACCUUCAUUUGUUGCUGAAUCUCCAUUGCCAUCACCGGUUUGCGUAAUUUCGCCCUCAGAGAUCAUGAUGUCGCCAACCGAGCCUCAUCAUUCACCAAAAAUAAAUCAUUUUCAGAGCUUAAUGUUAAAAAAUUUUAAAAAAUUUAAAAACAGCGUGAAAAAGCAAAUCAGGAUUUCAACGAAACUAGUAAAAAAAAAAUGAUGAAAAUAAAAUCGGAUAAUAACCACGUCCACCUCCCAUACAAAGGUUAGGUUGAAAAUUACUAAAAGUGCGUUAACUCCCUAACGAAAAACGUCAGAAACACUAAAUUUCACAUAAGAAAUGGCAGAUGAAAGCUGCACUCAGAUUUUUUUACAAAAUGGAAAAUGGGCGUGGCGUCGCCCACUUAUGGGUCAAAAACCAUAUCUCAGGAACUACUCGACCGAUUUCAAACUUGGUUUGUAAUAGUUUCCUUACAUCUCAAUGAUAUGUUGUGAAAAUAGAAAAAUCGCCAAAAUCGGGCCAUACUUUUUCAAGGCCCCGUAUAUCGAACAUGAGGACCUCGGUGCUUCUAACCUAAUAUUAUGGUUUCCAACUUUCAAUGGACUUUAUACAAUAUAUAUGACGAAUAUGGUCAAAUUGUGUAUUAUAUAAUAUUAAAUAAAUAAAUUGCGAGAGUAUAAAAUGUUCUGUUACACCCGAACUUAGCCCUUCCUUACUUGUUUUGCUUGCUCGUUCGCGUCAUUUGAUUUGCUCAUUUCUGCGUCCAUCGUAAAAGUAAACAAAUUUUCGUCAAUGACUUCGUCUUUCCAACUUCUAGUUUCACUCAUACACCAUUUGUUAUACAUAUCUUUACCGCCAUUUUAGCGUAGGCGACAAAAACCAAACUUUACAGGAGAAGGUUUUUUUUUAAAUACUUUUACCAUUAAUGUGGUAGUAAUUUAAAAUUUCUCAUACAUUAAUGC